rnacentral:rRNA from 1 species
UACGUAGGGGGCAAGCGUUGUCCGGAAUUAUUGGGCGUAAAGAGCGUGUAGGCGGUCCGGUAAGUCGGCUGUGAAAGUCAAGGGCUCAACCCUUGAAUGCCGGUUGAUACUGUCGGGCUAGAGUCCGGAAGAGGCGAGUGGAAUUCCCGGUGUAGCGGUGAAAUGCGCAGAUAUCGGGAGGAACACCAAUGGCGAAGGCAGCUCGCUGGGACGGUACUGACGCUGAGACGCGAAAGCGUGGGGAGCAAACAGG